GGACAGAAUUCUAAGUGGAGAGUGGAAACAAGACUGAAAAAUAAAGUUCUCUCCAACCUGUGCCACUCGAGGUAUAACAGGUUUAAACCAAUAAAAAUAAUAAAAAAAAAUAUAAUAAAUUAAAUAAAUAAAGCUAAAUUGCUUUUGCCUUUUUUGUAUAAAAUUGCCAAUUGCAAAAAGGGAAGAAGCGAAACCUCGCAAUUGAACGGGCCUGUAAAAAUCGCGGGUUUUUUUAUUUUCUUUAAGUGCAUUCUUAGAAUCUCCUUUUCUAUAGUUUGCGAUUUAUAUUUCCCGUUGCAGUCCUUGUGUCUUGUUUCUGUUUCUUCUGGCUUGAGGUGUUUUCUUUAACUUGUGGUUUAUUGUAAGCUGUAAAAAAUGAGAAGUAAAAUAAGUUAGUAAAUCUAUUAAUAUGUUUAUUCAUAAAUAUACCUGCUCAUGUGUUCACCUGCUUUGUUCGUUUAUAGCUAUUGGUAAUUGUCAGCUUAAAGCUAAUCGAAAAAUGGUUUGGUCAAAUAAUUUUAUCACUAAUGAAAUUUUGAAAAAGUUUUAAGUAAUAUGUUUUGAGAAAGCCUUAUUCAAGCCCAGUGACCGGAAUAUCCGGACCGCCAGGCUCUCGCUUGUUUUGUACAGUGAAUUGAUUUUUGAUUGAGUGUUUCAAGAUAAGAAGUGGUUUUAUAGUUAUAAUUGGUGAAUCAGUGUUAACGCUAAUAAAUAAAUGCAAAAAGAAAGGAUCUAAAUAUCUGUAUAUAGAGAGAGAAUAAGACAAUACAAAUAUACAAUUAUAAUGGUGUGUGAUGUCAAGUUGUGGGGUAACUAUAGUGUAGAAUAUUGUCUAGAUUGCGCCACAAAACAAUUUGAAUAAUUUUGAAAUCUAUGCUUUGUUAGUAGGAAAUAAUUAUUAUGUGAAGUCCGUAUUGGUUAUGUACAGCUAUUUACAUGGUGCGAAUGUAGAGAAAUAAAAUUAGCGAUGUGUGUGAAAACAGAUUAUGCUAGUGUUUGAGUGGUUACUUUCGGUGGAGUAUUUAUUACGAUAAGCUAAGAAUAUAUAAUUUAGAAAAAAAAAAUUUUUUUUUCAACUAUAUUUAUUAUUUUGUCAUUUCUAUCAAUAAUGUACUGAUGUAAGGUGGGUACAAGGAUAAUUAGGGAAAUAGUGGUUUUAAAGGUCAAAAUAACGACAUUAAAAGAUGUGUUAUUUUGAGAAUAUGGCAGUAACACUUGUGAAAGCACUUGCAUCAAUGAGUUUAGAAUGAUCCGUUUUGAUGGGUUUUUCGUGCGAGUCCGGAAGAUUUUCAUCCGCCGGACCGGGCGACUCCUGGUCUGGAUGGCACACCAGGUUUCUCUGCGGGUUCGCAAGAUAUUUAUCCGCCAAACCGGGCGACUCUUGGUCUGGGUGGCGCACCAAGUAGCCCCCCACCAACCCAUAAGGGAAGGCGCGCCAUGAACCGUCAACCAAGCCACCUCCCUGUCAGCCAUCAUCUUGCAUUCCCUGUUGUCUGCUGUUUUCUGUUGAACGCCUUUUUGGUGUUUAAUUAGGUUACUACCUCUUCCUGAAUAAACAUCAUCAUCCGCUCCAUAACCUUUAUGGCUUUGACAUUCGACAAAAUUGACCAUUUCGUAGCAUUAUCGAAUACGGUAUAUUUAAGUUUGUUUAAUUCGUUACGGAAAGUCAAUGUCCAAGGGCAGGUAGUUAGAUAAUGUUCGAAAUUAGCGGUCGGAAGUCCGCAAAAGCAAUUAUUAGUAUUCGUUAUUUUAAAUCUAAAAAGAUAAAAAGGAAAUCUUCCAUGCCCGGUCAUAAUUUGUGUUAAAAGAUGUGAAGAUGGGAACAUUUCCGGUAUGUUGUAUACAGUGGGAAUCCAUGUAAAUAGUUCUUUUUCUCUGCCCAAUCUUUUCCACUCAUCAUCCCAUUCCCUCCUUACUUCUUUAUUUAAUUCU